AUGAGCUAGAAUUUUGGAAAGAAACGUUAGUAUCACGUUAGAUAUUCUAAUUAUCGUAUUAAUAUUAGAUAUAUCGUAUUUUUUUCGAUGAUAUAAAAAACGCUAAUAACGGUGUGCGAGCUGUAAUCAACAUAUCGAUUAAAUUCCUCUGAUCGAAGAGCAAUGAUUCGGAACAUAAGCAGUUUGCCACUGCAGAACCGUAAGACGCACACCAUUAUCAAUAAUACGUCAUUCGACCCAUGCUGAACGUGCACUUCGUUAUCUUGCCGAGGAAACGUCAGACUAUCUUUCCCAGAAGGGCAUGGCUGACGCUGGAAACUUGGACGAUCAACAAAGUGGAAGUAAAAGAAGCAGAGCAACGUAUUCUAAACCUAGGGAUGUAAACGUUCGAUAGAGAAGGAGGUAUAAUAAAUCUAUUUAGAGACCGACAUUCGAUGUAUAAUAAUGUAAAUGUAUAAUAAGAGAAGAGGAACGAUAGCAUCUAUCAUGGACCAGUUAAAAAUUGCCAUGUUUGUUUGCAAGAGGAUCGCCAGGAGACUGAUGCCUCAGGGUAAGAUUCGUCGUACUUUUAUACGCGUGAUGACUGUCAGUGUUUUCGUGUCAUCCGCCAACAAUAACCCGAGCUAUUCCUUGCACCCAAACACGAAUCGUGCACACCCGUCUUACACACGCAUACACACCGCCCCCACUUGAAUCUCUCCUUCUUUUAUUCGGGCUACCUAUUACUCUGUUUCUUUUACCAUCCGAUGACCUCCUCAUAAAUGUUGCGAUGUCCAUACGUACAACUACGAGUCGAUGAGUAUGCGCGCUUAUGUUUCUUCAUAUCGUCGCGGCCUAUACACGCGACCUGUAUGCCAAUAUGUCGAAGAUACAGAGCCACUUCGAGGUCGUGCGACGAAACCGCGAACGUAAACCGUGAACUCCGCUGUAACCCUCUUGACGAAAGGUGUACGCACUUCCAAAAGUUUACGAUAUUGCGCGAUCGUUAUCGAUUAGCAUUUACGUCGCGCCUGCGACACCUUUAGCCAAGCCUGCACGCGAGAGAAAAAAGGGUUUCUUAACGCUAGACGAGUGAAGUAUGAGACUUGUAUCGGUGAAAUCGAAACGAACGUGGAAAAUGUGUUGAUUGAAAGGGAAAGGGAAACCUUUAACCGUAUAUUUUACAAAGAUCAUCGAGAUUCCUGAAAAUAUACUGUUCGAAAUUUAGAAGAUUUCUAUGAAGAACGACGAGUUGGUCAUUUUUACCGUGUUCUGAUUCCAACGAUAAUACUUGCGUCGAAAGAAUGCUAACUGUCCGUUCUGAUUCGAUCUUUGGUAGAAUUUUAAAUUAAAAAGGAAUUCUUAACGUAUGCAAUGGCAAACAGUACCGGCUAUCAUCGUAUUUGUCGUAGCAUCUACGUACCGACUAACUGGACCCAAGUAUAGUAUAUUAAAUCUCGAAUCAUUUGGCAGCACUUUGUGACGUGAUUACAAAAAUUUGAUACCGUGAGAACGAAAUGAAGAUGACCUAGUAAAAAAGGAAACAUUUCAUUGGGAAAGAAUCGUAUAUGGAAAUAAUUGUUGCAGCCGGUGUAUAUUGUUUGCGCUAAAUAGGUAUAAAAUGAAUCGAUAACGCUAUGAUAACAGCUAGCACCAAUACAUUAAUACAUUAAUGUAGUCGGAACAUGUGUCAAUCGAAUUCGUUUUAAAUUUGACACACGAUCGCCGAAUUUUAAGUGCAAACGAAGUGUGAGCGGCCAUAUAAUUUGUAUGCUGAUACAUCGAAGAAAGUCAUUCGAGGUUAUUCGACGAAAUUACGAAAGGAUCGGACGCCGGAGAAACCUUUCGUUCGAAUCGAAGAAUAGAAGGAACAGAUGAUUCAUAUAUGCCGACAUACACGAGAUGCUUUCGGGAAAUUUUGCCUAUGCCUCCUUAAAUCUGUGUAAAAAGAGGUUAUCUGUGCGAAGAGACAAUGGAUAAUCGAACUUUCUUUCGUAACAAAACAUUGUGAAAGAAUUACAACAGCUGCUUGUAGUCGAUUCGUUCUUUAUUGUUAGAUCCCUUAUUUAUUAUGUACUACACGUAUAAAUCGCAAUAAUUUAUAUUCAUUUUCGAUAUAUAUAUCGCCCAUUUGUAAUAUGAUAUCUUUUAUCUAUAACAUAUAUUUUACAGGAAAAUUAAAGAAUCAUUCGUUUCUGGUUGAAAGAAUAACUUUAUUCUGCUGUAAUACGAUCUUUAAAGUGCUACAGUAUAGAAAAGAAAAAUCGCAAAAUAAUCUGCGUGGACUUGCUUUAAAGCGUGAUACUUCUACUUUCUGAUCAUCAAAUUGUAUUUCCUCGUGGAUGCCUCUAUAUUCGCAAAAAGAGGUAAAAGUGAGGAUGAUUUUGUCGCAAAAAUGUAUGUUUUGAACUAUUUCACUUUUCAUUCAAAGUGCCAUAAAACGGUUUUUGGUUUUGGUACGAAUCGCGAAUAAAUUUCUUAAAUUUCACAGGCUUGUUCGAAUUUGUAGAAUUUUCGGAAUAAAAAAUAAUGUUCACUUUCCCGCCCCGCUUCUAAGCAUAAAAGCGUCUUCGAGAAAAAUUAAUUUAGAGUUGAGAAAGUAGAGACUUUGCCAACUGAAAUGAGCCCACGCUAAUAGUUGUACAAUCUGUCAUCAGGAAAUUACAGUACUUCAAAAAUUGAUAACAUUUUAAUUCAGAAUUGAUGAUCGUUUAACUUGCCCGCAAAGAUUUAAGUAAUAAACAACAAAUAAAAGAAAUAGGUAAAAGACCCAUUUUAUAAUUUCAGAAAACGAGGAUUUUCUAAUUUACAAUAUUUUACACAAAAAUAUUUAUUUAAAUAGUCGUAUGGAAAUAUAAUUUAUU